rnacentral:rRNA from 1 species
AUACGUAGGGAGCGAGCGUUGUCCGGAAUUACUGGGUGUAAAGAGCUCGUAGGUGGUUUGUCGCGUCGUCUGUGAAAUUCCGGGGCUUAACUCCGGGCGUGCAGGCGAUACGGGCAUAACUUGAGUACUGUAGGGGAGACUGGAAUUCCUGGGGUAGCGGUGAAAUGCGCAGAUAUCAGGAGGAACACCGGUGGCGAAGGCGGGUGUUUGGGUAGUAACGGACGGUGAGGGGAGAAAGUAUGGGUGGCGACAAGGAUUAGAUACCCUGGUAGUCCAUGCCGUAAACGGUGGGCGCAAGGUGUAGGGGUCUUCCACGGCUUCUGUGCCGUAGCUAACGCAUUAAGCGCCCCGCCUGGGGAGUACGGCCGCAAGGCUAAAACUCAAAUGAAUUGACGGGG